rnacentral:rRNA from 1 species
GGACUACACGGGUUUCUAAUCCUGUUCGCUCCCCUAGCUUUCGCGCCUCAGCGUCAGAUGCCAGCCAGGACACUGCCUUCGCCUUUGGUAUUCCUCCGGAUAUCUACGCAUUUCACCACUCCACCCGGAAUUCUAUGUCCCUCUCUGGCCCUCUAGUCCGGCAGUUUUCGCAGGCCCUCCUCAGUUGAGCCGAGGAUUGUCACUGCAAACUUACCGCACCGCCUGCACGCCCUUUACGCCCAGUAACUCCGGACAACGCUCGCCCCCUACGUAUUACCGCGGCUGCUGGCAC